rnacentral:rRNA from 1 species
GGUUCAUGACUGGGGUGAAGUCGUAACAAGGUAGCGCUAGGGGAACCUGGCGCUGGAUCACCUCCUUAAACGAUGAU